rnacentral:tRNA from 1 species
GCCGGGGUCGCCUAGCCUGGUUAGGGCGGCGGGUUGCUAACCCGCUGGGUGUACGCCCGCGCGGGUUCAAAUCCCGCCCCCGGCG